AAGGCAUCGAUGCAAUGCAAGAAUCUUUUGGCAAGUGUUUUCCUUGGUAACGCUGGAGCUUAAGAUUUUAGAAUUGUAAGUUUUCUCUUUUUUCAGGCUUUGUCAUUUUAAUAUUUAAUUUGAACUGCUUUGGAUACUAUAUAUUUAUAGUAUGCUCUGUAUUGUUAUGCUCUGUUUAUAAAAUCUAAUAUGUAAAUAAAAAAAAAUAGUGUUGUCUUUAGUGUUAUGUUUGUGAUAAAAGUUGCCGCUAAUGGGUGGUGACUUACAUGGUGAUGGAUAAAAUGGAAGUGAUGCCAAAUUAAUUUGGCGUCUCCGCUUUUCAAUUUCUAUUUCAAUCUCCACUCUCCAGUGCUUGAUCUGGUGGCACUUUUCUUUUUUCCUCAAAAUUUAUGUAAUCUCGUGUCAUUGUUUAUGGAUUGAGAUAUGGUUUUGAUUAUUUGGAUUAGCUGUGACGACCUUGUUUUUUGGCUCUUUAAUAUUUCUUAAAUUGUUAUGCAUGAACAUUUUGUUUGCUUCCUAAUAUGAAUGUUGUCCCUGAUCAGUCACUUAUUGCAACCUCUCCAAUUUUUCAUUCUUUUUCCAUUUUUUUCUUGAGUUUCUAUUUUUAAUUUUUCAUUCGGAGGAUUUUGAUAUGCUCGUUACAGUUUUCUUUAAUCAUAGGAGUAAAUAAAAAUAUGAUAUGAAACAAUAAUUCAUAACAUGAAUGGAAAUGGUAGAAAAUUAGAGAUUGAACUCUUGUUAUUUUAAUUUGUUAUCUUUGUGAUAUUACAAUAUCUUAAGAAUUGUGAAGUAAUCUACUCCUAUUUUAUUUUAUUUUUUAACUAAUCUGUAUGUCUAAAGGUUCAAUUAUAUUUCAGUGAUACUACUAAUGGGAACUUCUACUAGUGUUUCAGCAUGUGUAAAGAAGAUUCAAUUUAAUUGAGUAUUUUUGCCAAUGUAAUUGAUUAGCAUUUUUCUUUUAGUUAUAGGAGACAAUUUAAUGAUCUUAAACUUGCAUAGUUUUUAAUGUUUCAGUUGAAAUUAUAGUUAUUUGAUUGUUGGAUUUAAUUUUAUUUGCUUUAUUGUUUAUUGGAUUUUGUUGCUUGUCUUAAUUCCUUGGAUUAUAGUUGUAACAUGUAAUAUGAUUGAGUUGCUAUUUUAAAAUAAAGAAACAUUUACCUGUUAUUUGAUUUUUUUUGUUAUUUCCCCAUAGUCUAUUUGCUUAAAUGUCAAUUUUACUUAUGAUAUGAUAAUCUACAUGCCAUAUUGUUUAAUUUUACUAGUUAAAAUGAAUUUGUGGGUAAAUGGAAUUUAGAAAAUAAGAUAGGCUUGCCUUGUAUGAGAUAUAUGUAUUAUGCUAAACAAUCUUAUUGGAUAAGCUGAUUUGUUUUUUUUUUUUCAGUGGUUCAAGAUAAAUGUUUAUAUUAUAUGUGUGAUUAAUUUUCUUAAUUACUAAUUAAUCAUUAAUUGAAUCAGGUCAACUAAGGUGUAAAGGGCAAUAUUAUAUCUCUUCUUUUGGAUCCAGGUACUUUGAAUCUGUUUUUUUGUUUUUCAUUGAAGGCAUUGGUUAUAUUGUAAAAUUCAAUUUCUUGAUGAGCUAAUUCAAUUUCUUGGGGAUCAAAGUACUUUGGCUUCAUAUUUUUUUUUUUGUUUUUCCUUAAGGAAUAAAAAGGUACUUAGUUUGAAGCUCUUUGUAAAUUCGUUUUCAAGAGAAGAUUUUUUUUAGUUAAUUAAAAUUGAAUUUUAGUAAUAUACUUUACAGUUUCAAUUAUUAAAGAGAGGAUUGGUGGUUUUGCGUAUUGAAAAUACUACAAAAGGGGAUUGGAACAUAGUUUGAGGGUUUUCACCUUGACCUUGGUUGACUUUCCCUCUCCCCCUCCCCCCGAAAGGAGUCAUUUUGUAUGAGAUUAAUUGCUAGGAUGAGUCAUUUGUAUGUUUUCAUAUUAGAUGGUAUAUAUUGUUCAUGUAAGAAUGAAUCAAUAGUCCAGAAAAUUUUGAUCUUGUUAAUUCUGGAUGUAUUUUAUCUCUCUUUAUUCUAAAGAUUACUUUGUCAUUAAAUGAAAGUAGACAUAAAGGUUGCAUCGAACAAUUAUGCAAGUCGAGAGUAAUUUUUAUAUUUUGAAUAUUUUUGUUAAUAAAUUCCUUAAAAAAUAUAUGUUAAAUUAAAAUAUGUUUUUGUGUUUAUUUUAGAUUAAAGUCUUAAUUUUUCUGUUGAAAACAAAAUAUAUUUGAUGCUGCCUAAGAAUUUGGAUCACGCAUUUGAAAUUUUGAAUAUUGUUGUCUAUUUUGUGGUUGCAUUGUGUUUUCUAAUGCCAUUUGUUUUUUUUUUCUCUUUUUUUGUGCAGACCCUUGAAAUCCAAAAUAAGCAGCAGCUGAAGUCUAGUUUGUGCAAGCUGUAAAUUGAUUUAAUUUUUUAAAGUUAUUUGGUCACAAGCUUGUAAAAAAUUCUAAUUGUUUUAUUACAUCUAU
rnacentral:lncRNA from 1 species